AAAUGAAUUGACGGGGCCCGCACAAGCGGUGGAGCAUGUGGUUUAAUUCGAUGCAACGCGAAGAACCUUACCUGGGCUUGACAUCCCGGGAAUCCCCUGGAAACAGGGGAGUGCCCUUCGGGGAACCCGGUGACAGGUGCUGCAUGGCUGUCGUCAGCUCGUGUCGUGAGAUGUUGGGUUAAGUCCCGCAACGAGCGCAACCCUUGUCUUUAAUUGCCAUCAUUUAGUUGGGCACUUUAAAGAGACUGCCGGUGUUAAGCCGGAGGAAGGUGGGGAUGACGUCAAGUCCUCAUGGCCUUUAUGCCCAGGGCUACACACGUGCUACAAUGGUCGCUACAGAGUGACGCGAAGCCGCGAGGUGGAGCAAAUCGCAGAAAAGCGACCUUAGUUCGGAUUGGAGUCUGAAACCCGACUCCAUGAAGGUGGAAUCGCUAGUAAUCGCGCAUCAGCAUGGCGCGGUGAAUACGUUCCCGGGCCUU
rnacentral:rRNA from 1 species